UUAUUGGAAGGGGAGGAGAACAGAUUUCAAGAAUACAGCAGGACUCGGGUUGCAAAAUACAGAUUUCUCCCGACAGUGGUGGCAUGCCUGACAGGUCAGUGACAUUAACAGGCUCACCUGAUGCAAUCCAGGCUGCAAAGAGUUUGCUCACAGAGAUUGUCGAGAAAGGUAGACCUUCUCCAGCAUUCCACCACAAUGAUGGACCAGGGAUGUCUGUUCAGGAGAUCUUGGUCCCUGCCUCCAAAGCUGGUCUGGUCAUUGGAAAGGGAGGAGAAACAAUCAAACAGUUACAGGUAAGGUGCACAAAU